CGCUAGCUACAGGCUUAACACAUGCAAGUCGAGGGGCAGCAUCAUCAAAGCUUGCUUUGAUGGAUGGCGACCGGCGCACGGGUGAGUAACACGUAUCCAACCUGCCGACAACACUGGGAUAGCCUUUCGAAAGAAAGAUUAAUACCGGAUGGCAUAGUUUUCCCGCAUGGGAUAAUUAUUAAAGAAUUUCGGUUGUCGAUGGGGAUGCGUUCCAUUAGGCAGUUGGCGGGGUAACGGCCCACCAAACCAACGAUGGAUAGGGGUUCUGAGAGGAAGGUCCCCCACAUUGGAACUGAGACACGGUCCAAACUCCUACGGGAGGCAGCAGUGAGGAAUAUUGGUCAAUGGACGAGAGUCUGAACCAGCCAAGUAGCGUGAAGGAUGACUGCCCUAUGGGUUGUAAACUUCUUUUAUACGGGAAUAAAGUUAGCCACGUGUGGCUUUUUGUAUGUACCGUAUGAAUAAGGAUCGGCUAACUCCGUGCCAGCAGCCGCGGUAAUACGGAGGAUCCGAGCGUUAUCCGGAUUUAUUGGGUUUAAAGGGAGCGUAGGCGGGUUGUUAAGUCAGUUGUGAAAGUUUGCGGCUCAACCGUAAAAUUGCAGUUGAUACUGGCGACCUUGAGUGCAACAGAGGUAGGCGGAAUUCGUGGUGUAGCGGUGAAAUGCUUAGAUAUCACGAAGAACUCCGAUUGCGAAGGCAGCUUACUGGAUUGUAACUGACGCUGAUGCUCGAAAGUGUGGGUAUCAAACAGGAUUAGAUACCCUGGUAGUCCACACAGUAAACGAUGAAUACUCGCUGUUGGCGAUAUACGGUCAGCGGCCAAGCGAAAGCAUUAAGUAUUCCACCUGGGGAGUACGCCGGCAACGGUGAAACUCAAAGGAAUUGACGGGGGCCCGCACAAGCGGAGGAACAUGUGGUUUAAUUCGAUGAUACGCGAGGAACCUUACCCGGGCUUAAAUUGCAACUGACGGAACCGGAAACGGUUCUUUCUUCGGACAGUUGUGAAGGUGCUGCAUGGUUGUCGUCAGCUCGUGCCGUGAGGUGUCGGCUUAAGUGCCAUAACGAGCGCAACCCUUACGGAUAGUUACCAUCAGGUUAUGCUGGGGACUCUACCCGGACUGCCGUCGUAAGAUGUGAGGAAGGUGGGGAUGACGUCAAAUCAGCACGGCCCUUACGUCCGGGGCUACACACGUGUUACAAUGGGGGGUACAGAAGGUAGCUACACGGCGACGUGGUGCUAAUCCCAAAAGCCUCUCUCAGUUCGGAUUGGAGUCUGCAACCCGACUCCAUGAAGCUGGAUUCGCUAGUAAUCGCGCAUCAGCCACGGCGCGGUGAAUACGUUCCCGGGCCUUGUACACACCGCCCGUCAAGCCAUGAAAGCCGGGGGUACCUGAAGUACGUAACCGCGAGGAGCGUCCUAGGGUAAAACUGGUGAUUGGGGCU
rnacentral:rRNA from 1 species